AUAUUGAAACCCUAAUUCUAAAAUCACAUUGCAUCCCUCACUCACUCUCCUUACUGCCGACAGCCACUUUCCUCACUCACCCUUACUGCCGACAGCCCUUUCCCUCACUCAUUGUGCCGAUCGACCGACAAUUCUUCCCUUACUCACUUCCUAUUGACCGACAUCCCUCUCCCUUACUCUAACUCACUUGUGCUCUCUCUCCCCCUUCUCCUCUCCUCCCUGCUCUCUCUCUCUCUCGCUCGGUCUCUCUCGCUCGGUCUCGCUCGGUCUCUCUCGCUUGCUCUCGCUCAGUCUCUCUCGCUUGCUCUCGCUCGGUCUCUCUCGCUCGCUCUCGCUCGGUCUCUCUCGCUCGCUCUCGCUCGCUCUCUCUCUUGGAUUUCUAUUGCUUCUCUCUCCUUAACUCUUCUCAAAGUGUUUACAUUUGGUGGGAUUAUCGGGACAUUCGUUCUUCUUCCAGUUAAUUAUCUUGGGAAGCAGCUCAGCAUUGAUGAUUUUUAUGAUCUACCAAAGAAGUCUUUGGACUCUUUCAGUAUCUCCAAUGUAGACAACGGUUCAAACUGAGCCCUAUCACAUCUAUUUUCUAUCAAUGGAAUAGUAGUGAAAAGGCACUUGUAAUGUGGGAGGAGCUGUAAAGGCACAAAGGUGAUUUGCAUCUGGAGAAUGUAUACUAUUCAGAAAUGAAAGAUGCUGGUUUCUUUGAUGCUGAUUGAGAGUGAUGCAGUGAUAUUCUGGCCGGAUGACUCUGUAUAUUAAAGUAACUUCCAUAUGGCAAAAAUUUCUGUACUUGAAGAGAUGCUUGUUCGUUGCUUGUUGGACUCGUUCUUUUACAAUAGAUGUAGUGUGUCUCUGGUACUUGGAACGCUUUGUUGUGUACCAAUUAGGAACUGGUUAGACCGCAUUAAAAAAUAUAACUUUGUAUAAUACAGAAUAAGGGAAGCAUAAAGGUAUAUUUUAUGAUAUGAAUUUGAUACUAUUUGGAUCCAUUAUGUAUUUUGAGAUAUUUUAAGUUUCUUAGUGUUGAACUAUAAUAAUGUUUUGAACUAUUAGAUUGCAGAAUUAUGAAAUGAAGUUGAUGUGUAUAUAUUGUCUUUGA